CAGCAGCCGCGGUAAUACAUAGGUCUCAAGCGUUGUUCGGAAUCACUGGGCGUAAAGCGUGUGUAGGCUGCGCGGAAAGUCGGAUGUGAAAGCCUGGGGCUCAACCCCGGAACUGCAUUCGAUACUCCCGUGCUAGAGUAAUGGAGAGGUAACUGGAAUUCUCGGUGUAGCAGUGAAAUGCGUAGAUAUCGAGAGGAACACCAAAGGCGAAAGCAGGUUACUGGACAUUUACUGACGCUCAGACACGAAGGCUAGGGGAGCGAAAGGGAUUAGAUACCCCUGUAGUCCUAGCAGUAAACGGUGCUUGUUUGGUGUGGGAGGAUUCGACCCCUUCUGUGCCGGAGCUAACGCGUUAAACAAGCCGCCUGGGGAGUACGGUCGCAAGACUAAAACUCAAAGAAAUUGACGGGGACCCGCACAAGCGGUGGAGUAUGUGGCUUAAUUCGAUGCAACGCGAAGAACCUUACCUAGGCUUGACAUGUGAGGAUCUUUAUGAUCCCGGGUGCGAAAUCACCCUAAGAAACACAGGUGCUGCAUGGCCGUCGUCAGCUCGUGUCGUGAGAUGUUUGGUUAAGUCCAGCAACGAGCGCAACCCCUGUGAACUGUUGCCAGCGCGUAAAGGCGGGGACUCUGUUCAGACUGCCCAGAUCAACUGGGAGGAAGGUGGGGAUGACGUCAGGUCAGUAUGGCCCUUACGCCUAGGGCUGCACACGUACUACAAUGCCCAGCACAGUGAGAACCGAUACCGCAAGGUGGAGGAAAUCUGCAAAACUGGGCCCAGUUCGGAUUGGAGGCUGCAACUCGCCUCCAUGAAGUCGGAAUCGCUAGUAAUGCCGUAUCAGCUACGACGGCGUGAAUACGUUCCCGGGUCUUGUACACACCGCCCGUCACAUCAUGGAAGCCGGUCACACCCGAAGCCCAGGAAUCCAACAUUAACGCUGGCACGCCAUAAGGUGAAAUGGGUGACUGGGAUGAAGUCGUAACAAGGUA
rnacentral:rRNA from 1 species